rnacentral:rRNA from 1 species
UACGGAGGGUGCAAGCGUUAUCCGGAUUCACUGGGUUUAAAGGGUGCGUAGGUGGGCAAGUAAGUCAGUGGUGAAAUCUCCGGGCUUAACCCGGAAACUGCCAUUGAUACUAUUUGUCUUGAAUACUGUGGAGGUCAGCGGAAUAUGUCAUGUAGCGGUGAAAUGCUUAGAUAUGACAUAGAACACCAAUUGCGAAGGCAGCUUGCUACACUACUAUUGACACUGAGGCACGAAAGCGUGGGGAUCAAACAGG